rnacentral:rRNA from 1 species
AUGAACGCUAGCUACAGGCUUAACACAUGCAAGUCGAGGGGCAGCAUGAACUUAGCUUGCUAAGUUUGAUGGCGACCGGCGCACGGGUGAGUAACACGUAUCCAACCUGCCGAUGACUCGGGGAUAGCCUUUCGAAAGAAAGAUUAAUACCCGAUGGCAUAGUUCUUCCGCAUGGUGGAACUAUUAAAGAAUUUCGGUCAUCGAUGGGGAUGCGUUCCAUUAGGUUGUUGGCGGGGUAACGGCCCACCAAGCCUUCGAUGGAUAGGGGUUCUGAGAGGAAGGUCCCCCACAUUGGAACUGAGACACGGUCCAAACUCCUACGGGAGGCAGCAGUGAGGAAUAUUGGUCAAUGGACGAGAGUCUGAACCAGCCAAGUAGCGUGAAGGAUGACUGCCCUAUGGGUUGUAAACUUCUUUUAUACGGGAAUAAAGUGAGGCACGCGUGCCUUUUUGUAUGUACCGUAUGAAUAAGGAUCGGCUAACUCCGUGCCAGCAGCCGCGGUAAUACGGAGGAUCCGAGCGUUAUCCGGAUUUAUUGGGUUUAAAGGGAGCGUAGGCGGACGCUUAAGUCAGUUGUGAAAGUUUGCGGCUCAACCGUAAAAUUGCAGUUGAUACUGGGUGUCUUGAGUACAGUAGAGGCAGGCGGAAUUAGUGGUGUAGCGGUGAAAGGCUUAGAUAUCACGAAGAACUCCGAUUGCGAAGGCAGCCUGCUGGACUGUAACUGACGCUGAUGCUCGAAAGUGUGGGUAUCAAACAGGAUUAGAUACCCUGGUAGUCCACGCUGUAAACGAUGAUUACUAGGUGUGGGGGGUCUGACCCCUUCCGUGCCGGAGUUAACACAAUAAGUAAUCCACCUGGGGAGUACGGCCGCAAGGUUGAAACUCAAAGGAAUUGACGGGGGCCCGCACAAGCGGAGGAACAUGUGGUUUAAUUCGAUGAUACGCGAGGAACCUUACCCGGGCUUGAAUUGCAACUGAAUGAUGUGGAGACAUGUCAGCCGCAAGGCAGUUGUGAAGGUGCUGCAUGGUUGUCGUCAGCUCGUGCCGUGAGGUGUCGGCUUAAGUGCCAUAACGAGCGCAACCCUUAUCGAUAGUUACCAUCAGGUUAUGCUGGGGACUCUGUCGAGACUGCCGUCGUAAGAUGUGAGGAAGGUGGGGAUGACGUCAAAUCAGCACGGCCCUUACGUCCGGGGCUACACACGUGUUACAAUGGGGGGUACAGAAGGCAGCUACACGGCGACGUGAUGCUAAUCCCGAAAGCCUCUCUCAGUUCGGAUUGGAGUCUGCAACCCGACUCCAUGAAGCUGGAUUCGCUAGUAAUCGCGCAUCAGCCACGGCGCGGUGAAUACGUUCCCGGGCCUUGUACACACCGCCCGUCAAGCCAUGAAAGCCGGGGGUACCUGAAGUGCGUAACCGCGAGGAGCGCCCUAGGGUAAAACUGGUGAUUGGGGCU